rnacentral:rRNA from 2 species
UCGAACGAGUUCUGAUUAUUGAAAGGUGCUUGCAUCUUGAUUUAAUUUUGAACGAGUGGCGGACGGGUGAGUAACACGUGGGUAACCUGCCCUUAAGUGGGGGAUAACAUUUGGAAACAGAUGCUAAUACCGCAUAAAUCCAAGAACCGCAUGGUUCUUGGCUGAAAGAUGGCGUAAGCUAUCGCUUUUGGAUGGACCCGCGGCGUAUUAGCUAGUUGGUGAGGUAACGGCUCACCAAGGCAAUGAUACGUAGCCGAACUGAGAGGUUGAUCGGCCACAUUGGGACUGAGACACGGCCCAAACUCCUACGGGAGGCAGCAGUAGGGAAUCUUCCACAAUGGACGCAAGUCUGAUGGAGCAACGCCGCGUGAGUGAAGAAGGCUUUCGGGUCGUAAAACUCUGUUGUUGGAGAAGAAUGGUCGGCAGAGUAACUGUUGUCGGCGUGACGGUAUCCAACCAGAAAGCCACGGCUAACUACGUGCCAGCAGCCGCGGUAAUACGUAGGUGGCAAGCGUUAUCCGGAUUUAUUGGGCGUAAAGCGAGCGCAGGCGGUUUUUUAAGUCUGAUGUGAAAGCCCUCGGCUUAACCGAGGAAGUGCAUCGGAAACUGGGAAACUUGAGUGCAGAAGAGGACAGUGGAACUCCAUGUGUAGCGGUGAAAUGCGUAGAUAUAUGGAAGAACACCAGUGGCGAAGGCGGCUGUCUGGUCUGUAACUGACGCUGAGGCUCGAAAGCAUGGGUAGCGAACAGGAUUAGAUACCCUGGUAGUCCAUGCCGUAAACGAUGAAUGCUAGGUGUUGGAGGGUUUCCGCCCUUCAGUGCCGCAGCUAACGCAUUAGAGCUAUUCCGCCG